ACUCAAAGGAAUAGACGGGGCCCCGCACAAGCAGCGGAGCGUGUGGUUUAAUUCGAUGUUACGCGAAGAACCUUACCCGGGUUUGACAUACUGGUGGUAGGGAUCCGAAAGGUGACCGACCCUUCGGGGAGCCAGUACAGGUGCUGCAUGGCUGUCGUCAGCUCGUGUCGUGAGAUGUCCGGUUAAGUCCGGUAACGAGCGCAACCCUCGCCGUAUGUUAUAUGUGUCAUACGGGACUGCUGGUAUAAAGCCGGAGGAAGGUGGGGAUGACGUCAAGUCAGCAUGGCCUUUAUAUCCGGGGCUACACACACGCUACAAUGGCCGGUACAAUGGGUUGCAAAACCGCGAGGUGGAGCCAAUCCCCAAAGCCGGUCUCAGUUCAGAUUGUAGGCUGCAACUCGCCUACAUGAAGUCGGAGUUGCUAGUAACCGCAGGACAGCUAUACUGCGGUGAAUACGUUCCCGGGGCUUGCACACACCGCCCGU
rnacentral:rRNA from 1 species